GGAUUUCUGCGCGGUGCGAGGUUCGCUCAAAAACCCCGGGGCCAAUAAAGAUCUCCUGGGAGCUGUCCCUGGCCUUGACCGUGGUCUCGGCUACACGGCGCCCACCUGCUUUUGCAGGCCUUGGAGGUUUUUACGACCACGGCCCAUCGUGGAGCCGCC
rnacentral:other from 1 species